rnacentral:rRNA from 1 species
UAAACGACUCUCGGCAACGGAUAUCUCGGCUCUCGCAUCGAUGAAGAACGUAGCGAAAUGCGAUACUUGGUGUGAAUUGCAGAAUCCCGUGAACCAUCGAGUCUUUGAACGCAAGUUGCGCCCGAAGCCUUGGCUGAGGGCACGUCUGCCUGGGUGUCACGC